AUGGAGGAUGAUGAGUUGCACGCGGAGUGCUGUAGUGCCGAGCACUGCACACUUUUCAGACAAAACCUGGUGACAUAAUCAUGUGCACAGGGGCCAACUGACUCUGU